rnacentral:rRNA from 1 species
AAUUAAAUAUUUAUUUUUUUUAUAUGUGUAUAUGGUAUUAUAAUAAAUAAUUUUAUAUUUUAUUAUUUUAUAAGAAAAAAUUUAAUUAAUGAUAGUUUAUAGUAUUGUAAAUGAAAAUUUAUAAUUAAUGAAAAGAAAUUUUUAUAAAUUGUACCUUGUGUAUCAGGGUUUAUUAAUUAAAUAUUUAAUUUUAAAUUUUUUCGAAUUUAAAAGAGUUAAUAAAAUAUAAUUUUUAUUGUAAAAUAAAUAUAUUUAAUAUUUUAUUGGUAAUGAAAUGUUAUUCGUUUUUAAUUAUAUCUAGUUUUUAAAGAAAAAAAUUUAAUUUUUUUGUUAUAAUAUAUAAAUUUUAUUAUUUAAUAUUAUAUUAUUAAUAUUAAAAAUUUUUAGGGAUGAGCUUAAAAAUUGAUUAUUAUAAUAAAUUAAUUUUUUAAUAAUUUUAAGAUUAGUAAUUUCUAUAAUUUAAGUAUGUUAUAAUUUAUUUUAAUUUGAAAAGAUUUUUAUUUUAUUUAAUUUUUUUAUUUAAAUAUUUUAUUUAAUAAUAAUAUAUUAGUAAUAAUGAUAAAAUUAGUAUAAAUUAUUUGAUAAUUAAAUAUAUUAAUUUAGGUUAAUAAAAGGAAUUCGGCAAAUUAUUUUUCACCUGUUUAUUAAAAACAUGUCUUUUUGUUAUAUAUUUAAAGUCUAACCUGCCCCCUGAAUAUUAAAUGGCCGCAGUAUUUUGACUGUGCUAAGGUAGCAUAAUCAUUAGUUUUUUAAAUGAAAGCUGGAAUGAAGGGUUGAAUGAAAAAAUAACUGUCUUUUUUUAAUUAUUUUAGAAAUUUAUUUUUAAGUUAAAAAGCUUAAAUUUUUUUAAAAGACGAGAAGACCCUAUAGAGUUUAAUUUUUAAUUUUUAUAAAAUAUUUAGUAUUUAUAUUUAUAUAAUUAUUAAAAAUUUAAUUGGGGUGAUUAAAAAAUUUAAUUAACUUUUUUUUUAUUUUUAUAUUAUUAAAUAAUUAUAUGAUCCAAUAUUUUUGAUUAAAAGAAAAAAUUACCUUAGGGAUAACAGCGUAAUUUUAUUUAAUAGUUCUAAUUGAAAAUAAAGAUUGCGACCUCGAUGUUGGAUUAAAAUUUAAUUUUAGUGCAAAAGCUAAAAUAUUAAGUCUGUUCGACUUUUAAAAUUUUACAUGAUCUGAGUUUAAACCGGUGUAAGCCAGGUUGGUUUCUAUCUUUAAAUUAAUUUAAUAUUUUAGUACGAAAGGAUCAAGUAUUAGUAA